GAAAAUCCUCAGAAAAAUCGCAACGAUUUCCGUUCAAAUUCGUGACCCCUGCUCCGCGAAAUUCCCUGUAUAUAAUCCCCCGCAUCAGCCCCUCUCCGUUUUUCCAAAAUCGCAAACCGUAGACCACCCAAGAGCUCGUUCCGAUCUCGCCGGAGUUCGUCGCUGCGAACUUGAAGUCGAGGAUCACGGAAACGACCAGUCAACGACACCGGAGUUUCGCCGGACUUCAUCGUUCCUAGCCGGAGUUAGGCGCCGUUCGGAAGUAGGAGAGCAGCUGACGAGGACGAAGAAGGAGAUCUCUCGUCAAGCCACACCUCGCCGUCACCUUCGUCGAGCCGGGAGACCACCACACCAUCUCCAUCCACGCCCGGCCGCCACGUCCGUUCUCAUCCACCACCGAUUUAUUCGGAGUGCGGAAAAGUUCACGAAGAAG